AGAUAAAGAAAAACAACCACCACAAGCUAAGAAUGCAAAGACGGCUUCCCGUAAGGCCUGAGAAGAGCCCCAAGCGGAGGACAAUACUACAGAGAAGAAGAAACCAGGCCAGAGAUACUUCCAGUGCAUUUAUGUCCCUGGUAAAAAUGCCCAGUACCCCUUGCGACCUUUCACCCCAGCCGUGUCCCCCACCGUGAUGUCCCCUGCAAUCCGGUCGAUGUUGGAGCAGCAGAGAGCGGCCAGGGAGUCGGAGCAAUAGGACGACCUGGCCUCCCACGUCGUCGCCGAUGGCACCGCACUCCCAGUCCAGCAGGGGGAGUUGUUUGAAUCUGUGGCAUCCCGAAAUUCAAAGGAUAGCCUCGGACAGACCGACAGAAAGAAGUGGACAGAACUAUUUUGUCUUUAAUUUAUUUAUGUAUUUAUUUUCUCUCUCUGUGGUUGAGCUCCUGGGGUUUCUGUUGAUAUUUUCCCCCUCGUGAUGAUGCUUCGCUGUGUUUUGCUUCACUAGUUGUCACUUCCAUGCCUUGCUUGUGUCUUAGAUACAAUUUAAUAUCACCGACAUCCAAACGAGGAAGCAUUUUUGUCAAUAUUCGUAACUCAAUAUGAUGUACAUAAUGCAUACGUUUAUAAUUAGGGCUCAGAUAAAUGUUCGAAACCUUA